AAUUAUUUUGGCCUGGAGUCUAAUCUUCAAGCUGCUGCCUUUUCGUCCUUUAGCCGCCACAGUCAUCUCCUCCUGGACAACUCCUUCCUGAAUUUAGUCCCGGUAUAAAUUCAGCAGUAAUGUGAAGGCCACGGAGAAUUAAUAAAGAAGCAGUAUCAUAAAAAUGAAGGAACACGCAACGAGGGUGGAGAGGUUGGACUGGUCAUCCCUGCGGGUCGGAGAACCUGGAGGUUCGUCAUCGUCAGGGAAACGAACGCC